AUUGAACGCUGGCGGCAUGCCUUACACAUGCAAGUCGAGCGCGAAAGGGGGCAACCCCGAGUAGAGCGGCGGACGGGUGAGUAACACAUCGGAACGUGCCCAGUAGUGGGGGACAACCUCGAGAAAUCGAGGCUAAUACCGCAUACGACCCACGGGUGAAAGCGGGGGACCGCAAGGCCUCGCGCUAUUGGAGCGGCCGAUGUCCGAUUAGCUAGUUGGCGGGGUAAGAGCCCACCAAGGCGACGAUCGGUAGCUGGUCUGAGAGGACGACCAGCCACACUGGGACUGAGACACGGCCCAGACUCCUACGGGAGGCAGCAGUGGGGAAUUUUGGACAAUGGGGGCAACCCUGAUCCAGCCAUGCCGCGUGCGGGAAGAAGGCCUU
rnacentral:rRNA from 1 species